rnacentral:rRNA from 1 species
GCUUGUCUCAAAGAUUAAGCCAUGCAUGUCUUAGUGUAAAUAACUCUUAUGAAACUGCGAAUGGCUCAUUAAAUCAGUUAUCAAAUACGUGAUGGUCGCCUACUACAUGGAUAACCGUAGUAAUUCUAGAGCUAAUACAUGCACAAAGGCCCAUUCACGUGGGUUGUGAUUAUUAGAUCCAACCAGCCCGGUUCGCCGGAGUCCCUGGUGAGUCAUAAUAACUGAGCGAAUCGCAUGGCCUUGCGCCGGCGAUGGUUCAUUCAAGUUUCUGCCCUAUCAGCUUUCGAUGGUAGGGUAUUGGCCUACCAUGGCGUUAACGGGUAACGGAGAAUUAGGGUUCGAUUCCGGAGAGGGAGCCUGAGAAACGGCUACCACAUCCAAGGAAGGCAGCAGG